UACGAAGGGGCUAGCGUUGCUCGGAAUUACUGGGCGUAAAGGGAGCGUAGGCGGACAUUUUAAGUCAGAGGUGAAAUCCCGGAGCUUAACUUCGGAACUGCCUUUGAUACUGGGUGUCUUGAGUGUGAGAGAGGUAUGUGGAACUCCCGAGUGUAGAGGUGAAAUUCGUAGAUAUUCGGGGAAGGAAACACCUGUGGGCGA
rnacentral:rRNA from 1 species